rnacentral:rRNA from 1 species
UACGGAGGGGGCAAGCGUUAUUCGGAAUUAUUGGACGUAAAGGGCGCGUAGGCGGCUAGAUGUGUCAAAGGUGAAAUCCCUCGGCUCAACUGAGGAACUGCCUUUGAAACUGUCUGGCUUGAGGCCGGGAGAGGGUAGCGGAAUUCCCAGUGUAGCGGUGAAAUGCGUAGAGAUCCGAAGGAACGCCGGUGGCGAAAGCGGCGGACUGGGCACCUUCUGACGCUGAGGCGCGAAAGCCAGGGGAGCAAACGGG